UCUCCUACAUUGUGUAGGCGCACCCCCAUAGCGGGGCGCCUAUAUGCACUUGGAGCUUCUGGCUCAAUACACUCCUGACGACCUUGACCAGUCAACAAGUAGUUAAGUUGUUAUACAUCCAUUCUGCGCAGUAUCGUUCACAUUCAGACAUCAUGGAUCGAGUUUAGUCUCGACCCAGCAGUAUUUUUUUCUCCAUUCGACGGGACAGACGGCAUUAUUGUACUCCAUUGCUCCUGGACAAAGCAUGGCUACUAUUGAGGGGAACAUCCGCUUCAAUGCUGUGGUUUACAAAGACAACUCUGGAUUCCGGUACCUCCGAAAUGUGGCAAGAAACAACAAACUAUACCUGCGUUGCAUUCAGCACCCCAACUGUGGAGGAAGAGCCGUAUUGUCGGAGACAACUGGACUGGUGUCAUCAGAGCAACGCAAGGUCACAACCAUGAAUCAUCUGACUUUGCUGCAAUAGAUCUGAGGAACACUCCUGUGCAGAUUGCAUAACUAUCCUUGUAUCAACAGCAGAUGCUAACAACCCUGCAACAUGUCCCACUUGUCGUACUGUCAUUCAUGACAGGCUUGAGGUUUACGUUUAAAAUGUGCCAUAGUAAUGUUUCAUUUUUUAUAUACAUGUUUUAGUGAGAAAUUUAAAAAUGUCAUUGUAAUGCUUCAUUUUAUAUAUGUAAGUUUUACUGAAAAAUAAAAAGUGCCAUUUUAAUUCAUGUGCCUUCCA